AGAUGAACCGGAUUAUGCAGUCGAUCACUCAGAUUCGCAGGGGCAUUUCCAGUAUGUAUCCAACAAUCUUCUCGAGAUCCUGGCCGAUGUGAUCCGUACACCAAAGGAUGUAAUAUCCUUUGGUUACCAGCUUGGCUUCUCUUAUUCCUCCAUGAAGAAAUACUCUAGGUCAGGCUUUGGUGAGAUGCUACGCGACUGGAGACGGCAGGUUCGACCUAGUGAGCAGGUAGUUGAACUUCGAAGGGCAUUGCAAAAUGCUGGGUUAGGCGUUGCAGCUGAGGUAACCUUACAUUAACGAGAAGCAUUACACAAGUCUGACAAGCAUGGAAAUCAAAUGAGUAAGGAACCUUGUCAUUGAGAUGUUUAUUAUCACCCCACAACUAAGAAGGGAUUCACUUAAUUUAUGCAUUCAGCUGGGAAGCCUAUGUCUUGACAAACAUGCAUCAUAAGUCUGCAUGAUUCUCAGCCUGAAUCUAGAACUUGCUGUUUCUUCCAUACCCAAUGCUGCUUGGAGUCAUAUAGUUGGAGCUA